AAUGAAGAAGAUCCUGCUGGUGACUCUGCUUCUCGCUGGGAUGAUGAUGAGUGGUUAUGCCCUACGGUGUAACUCCUUCCCUGGCUCACCAGCCAUUGAAAACUGUUCCCCUGAAAGAGAUGCCUGCUUCAGUAGAAAAAACCUUGGUUUUGGUAAGUGUCUUCCUACUCUAUAUUAAAAAAAUCUGAUAAAAAAAAAAUAUGAAUAGCACAACUUGCUCUGAUUAAUCGCAAUUAAAUUUUAAAGUUAAAAUAAAAAACAGGAAGGAAAGAUUUUUCCUUAAAUU
rnacentral:lncRNA from 1 species